UACGAAGGGGGCUAGCGUUGUUCGGAAUUACUGGGCGUAAAGCGCGCGCAGGCGGUUUUCCAAGUCAGUGGUGAAAGCCCGGAGCUCAACUCCGGAACUGCCAUUGAAACUGUUAAACUUGAGGACGAGAGAGGUGAGUGGAAUUCCCAGUGUAGAGGUGAAAUUCGUAGAUAUUGGGAAGAACACCAGUGGCGAAGGCGGCUCACUGGCUCGUAUCUGACGCUCAGGCGCGAUAGCGUGGGGAUCAAACAGG
rnacentral:rRNA from 1 species